CCUACGGGAGGCAGCAGUGGGGAAUAUUGCACAAUGGGGGAAACCCUGAUGCAGCGACGCCGCGUGAGUGAUGAAGGAUCUCGGUAUUUAAAGCUCUAUUAGUAGGGGAGAAAAUGACGGUACCUGAUUAAGAAGCCCCGUCUAACUACGUUCCAGCUGCCGCGGUAAUACGUAGGGGGCAAGCGUUAUCCGGAUUUACUGGGCGUAAGGGGAGCGUAGACGGCGGGACAAGUCCGGAGUGAAAUGCCGGGGCUUAACCCCGGAACUGCGUUGGAAACUGGGCAGCUAGAGUGCAGGAGAGGUAGGUGGAAUUCUUGGUGUAGGGGUAAAAUCCGUAGAGAUCAAGAGGAAUACUGAUUGCGAAGGCGACAUGCUAGAACAUAACUGACGCUGAUGCGCGAAAGCGUGGGGAGCAAACAGGAUUAGAUACCCCGGUAGUC
rnacentral:rRNA from 1 species